rnacentral:rRNA from 1 species
AUUGAACGCUGGCGGCAGGCCUAACACAUGCAAGUCGAACGAGUGGCGGACGGGUGAGUACUGUCUGGGAAACUGCCUUAUGGAGGGGGAUCACUACUGGAAACGGUAGCUAAUACCGCAUCCCAUCGGAUGUGCCCAGAUGGGAUGAGCUAGUAGGUGGGGGAAAGGCUCACCUAGGCGAAGAUCCCUAGCUGGUCUGAGAGGAUGACAAGCCAAACUGGAAAUGAGACACGGUCCAGACUCCUACGGGAGGCAGCAGUGGGGAAUAUUGGACAAUGGGCGCAAGCCUGAUGCAGCCAUGCCGCGUGUAUGAAGAAGGCCUUCGGGUUGUAAAGUACGUUCAGCGGGGAGGCGUUACCAGCAGAAGAAGCACCGGCUAACUCCGUGCCAGCAGCCGCGGUAAUAC